AAAGUCGUAACAAGGUUUCCGUAGGUGAACCUGCGGAAGGAUCAUUACAAAUCCAUCCACGUCUCACACAACCCUGAGACCACGUUGAAAUGUUGUUGCUGUGUGUGCUGUCUGAUGAUGUGCAUGUAUGUGUGCCUUGCGCACCAUACACAUCUCAUCACAACACACAUAUACACAAACUAGUAGUAUCUGUUGCUCAAAUGUAUCUUUCUUGAUUGUAAUGAUCAAGGCAAACAAAGUACAACUUAUAACAAUGGAUCUCUAGGCUCUU
rnacentral:misc_RNA from 1 species